rnacentral:ribozyme from 17 species
GCAAGGUAAAGACAAAGAUUGGCAGUUUUUAUAGUUGUUGCUGGGGUUGUUGUCAAUCCAUAUAUCUCUUGUGUUUACAGUUUCUUACUUGAUUGCCUUUUUCUUGUUUCUUAUUUGCAGGUUCUAGAAAUCAUUACCCUCCGGCGGGAUGGUUUGAGAGG